CCUACGGGUGGCUGCAGUGAGGAAUAUUGGUCAAUGGGCGCGAGCCUGACGCAGCCAAGUAGCGUGAAGGAAGAAUGCCCUACGGGUUGUAAACUUCUUUUAUAAAGGAAUAAAGUGAGGCACGUGUGCCUAUUUGUAUGGACUUUAUGAAUAAGGAUAGGCUAAGUCCGUGCCAGGAGCCGCGGUAAUACGGAGGAUACGAGCGUUAUCCGGAUUUAUUGGGUUUAAAGGGAGCGUAGAUGGGUUGUUAAGUCAGUUGUGAAAGUUUGCGGCUCAACCGUAAAACUGCAAUUGAUACUGGCAGUCUUGAGUACAGUUGAGGUAGGCGGAAUUCGUGGUGUAGCGGUGAAAUGCUUAGAUAUCACGAAGAACUCCGAUUGCGAAGGCAGCUUACUAAACUGCCACUGACAUUGAUGCUCGAAAGUGUGGGUAUCAAACAGGAUUAGAUACCCGUGUAGUC
rnacentral:rRNA from 1 species